GGCCGCGGGAAUUCGAUUCAGGCCUAACACAAAAAAAUCGAGCGGUAGAGAGAAGCUUGCUUCUCUUGAGAGCGGCGGACGGGUGAGUAAUGCCUAGGAAUCUGCCUGGUAGUGGGGGAUAACGUUCGGAAACGGACGCUAAUACCGCAUACGUCCUACGGGAGAAAGCAGGGGACCUUCGGGCCUUGCGCUAUCAGAUGAGCCUAGGUCGGAUUAGCUAGUUGGUGAGGUAAUGGCUCACCAAGGCUACGAUCCGUAACUGGUCUGAGAGGAAGAUCAGUCACACUGGAUCUGGGACACGGUCCAGACUCCUACGGGAGGCAGCAGUGGGGAAUAUUGGACAAUGGGCGAAAGCCUGAUCCAGCCAGGCCGCGUGUGUGAAGAAGGUCUUCGGAU
rnacentral:rRNA from 1 species